rnacentral:lncRNA from 1 species
AAAAGUUCACUAAAAUUUUUUUUACAUUUCAAAUCAAUGGGGAAAAUAUAUGUUAUGAAUUAAAGUUCCCUGGUAGCCUAGUGGUUAAGGACCUGGUGUGGUCAUUGCUAUAGCUCCGGUCACUGCUAUGGUGUAGGUUCAGUCCCUGGCCCAGGAACUUCUGCAAGCCAUAGGUACAUCCAAAGGAAAAAAAAAAAAAGAUAUGUUAUUGAAUAAAUCAUGUUGAAAAUAACUGGAUACGUACCUCCCAACACCAAAAUAAAUUUAAAUGGAUCAAAAACAUUUGGAGGAGUUGCCUUCGUGGCUCAGUGAUUAACGAACCAGACUAGCAUCCAUGAAGAUGCAGCUUUGAUCCCUGGUCCCAUUCAGUGGGUUAAGGAUCCAGCGUUGCUGUGUAGGUCACAGAUGCAGCUCUGAUCCUGUAUUGCUGUAGCUGUGGCAUAGGCCAGCGGCUACAGCUCCGACUGGACCUGAGAACCUUCAUAUGCCACAGAACCUUCAUAUGCCUGAGAACCUUCAUAUGCCACAGGAGCAGCACUAAAAAGACAAAAAAAAAAAAAAAAAAAAAGAAAGAAAGAAAAAAGAAGAAUUUUGGCCUUGCCCACGGCAUGUGGAAGUUUCUGGGCCAGGGAUAGAACCUGAACCACAGCAGUAACUAAAGCCACAAAAGUAACCUGAACCACAGCAGUGACAAUGCUGGGUCUGGGUCCUUAACCUGCUGAGCCACAAAGGAACUCCCGAAUGGAUCAGAUAUGAAAUGUUGUUAUUACCAAACCAUAAAAGGCCAGAAGAAAACAUAGAAUUGAUUUUUUAGGAGUUCCUGUUGUGGCGCAGUGGUUAACGAAUCCGACUAGGAACCAUGAGGUUGCGUGUUCGGUCCCUGCCCUUGCUCAGUGGGUUAACGAUCCGGCGUUGCCGUGAGCUGUGGUGUAGGUUGCAGACGCGGCUCGGAUCCCUCGUUGCUGUGGCUCUGGCGUAGGCCGGUGGCUACAGCUCCGAUUGGACCCCUAGCCUGGGAACCUCCAUAUGCCGAGGGAGCGGCCCAAGAAAUAGCAACAACAACAACAAAAGACCAAAAAAAAGACCAAAAAAAAAAAAUGUUUUAUCCCUUUACAAGAAAAAUUAAUGCUAAUAUAUAAAAAUAAAUCAUUUCUGCAUUUAGAGGAAUCAUGAACAAAGUCAAAAGACAUACAGCAGGAGUUCCCGUCGUGGCGCAGUGGAAAUGAAUCUGACUAGGAACCAUGAGGUUGUGGGUUCGAUCCCUGGUCUUGUUCAGUGGGUUAAGGAUCCGACAUUGCCGUGAGCUGUGGCAUAGGUCACAGAUGCAGCACGGAUCUGGCAUUGCUGUGGCUGUGGUGUAGGCCAGCAGCUGUAGCUCUGAUUCCACCCCUAGCCUGGGAACCUCCAUACGCCCAAAAAGGCAAAAAAAAAAAAAAACAUACAGUAAAUGUGCGCAGGGUAUCUUCACACAUUUGGCCCUUCCAGAUGCCCUCUCUACUCAGCUCCACCCUGCUCUCCAUCUUGUGAAGCUGGCCUGCAGGGGCCUCAGCCACAGAUUCCCUUGCACUGGGUUUCUAGCAGGGCCCCUGGAAUGGAAGCUCUAAUUAGGAGACUGGCAUCUCUCCCAGCAGCUCUUUUCCAGGGAAAGCUCUGGUAACAGCUCCCUCUAGUGGCAUACAUCUGGCAACGCAACUGCCUGGCUGAGUGGAGCUGCUAACUUAACCGGGGUCACCUCUGGCCUGGAGUUGGAACACGCCCUACCUUGCCCCAGACUUUGAAAUGGGCCUCUUUUAAAAUGCUGCUUCUUUUGUGUACAAACCUCAGGGCACGCCAGUAUGCAUAUUCUCGUGUAUCUGCAGGUUCAUGUGUGAGCCUUCUCCCUGUGAUUACACUGAGCACUCCCUGAGGACAGGAUCCAGUUGUCAUUUUCCUUGUUGCAUAAUAAUUUAAUCCUGACAACAAUCCCAUGGGGCACAUGCUAUUAUUUACGCCUUUUUACAGAUGAGAAAACUGAUGCCCCGAUCAUCACAUAAAUUGUCCAGCAAGUAAGGGGCAGAGCAAAGACUCAGACCCAAGGGGGUGGGAUGGCAAAGCGCCUGCCCUUCGGUCAACACUAGAUAAACAGGCAGUGAGCCUCAUGGCAUGGAGGGGGAAACUGAGGUCUGGAUAGGCACCUGGCAAGCCGAUGUAGACAAGGCUAAAAAGCCAGCCUUCAUUCUUCCCAGCCAGGCCCCCUCCCAGGAUUGGAAGACCAUCCUGCUCCUGCCAGCUUUCCACCCAGCUGGGCAGGCAGGUAGUAGGUGUGAACAGAACAGGAAGGCUCUGAACUCUCUGGCCCUUGCCCUGUACCUCCAACUUGGAAUCCAAAGGAGUCCUGGCCUUCUUGGCCCUGUGCCCCCCCAGGGACACACUUGAUAUGUAUGACAAGGGACUGCCUUCUCCCCAGGCUACUCCUCAUCUCACGCAGGCCCCCCUCCAAGGGCAGGUGGAAGUCCUUGUGCUUAACCACAGCUGUGCCUGUGCUAAGCCUGUGCUAAGCCCCUACAGAGUCCAGGAAAGCAGCUGACCCGGGAAGAGGCCAGGAGCUCUGAAAUGAGCACACUCAUUAGCGCAGUCCUGCUCCCCUGCACACCAGCACCCCCUUUGAGGUCUGUUUCCCUGGAGGGGUGUGCAUGCCCAGGAUACUGGAAAGCCUGCACCACAGUCUGCCCUCCCAGGGGAUAAUGAGAGGGACUCCAGGAAUGGUCAUAGCCCACACCUCCCCCCUGUGACUUAAGCUGCCACCACAGGCCUCCCACCUGGGGUCAGCUCUGCCUCCAGGCUCCUCUCCCGAACUCUAGGCCCCUCCUCCCGGCAGCCAAAUCCUCACAUUCUCCUUGCCCCAGAAAAGGCGGAAUCUGUCCCUAUCGCCAACCUGGAAGACUUCCUAGACACUUGCUACAACUGUUUUCUUCAAAUUCUACAUUUUUUCCCAGUAGCUGGACUUACUAUGCCCCACUUCUCCUUCCCCUGCCAAAAAGAAGUCAGGCUUGUGAUAUUCCGGGAGGAGAGUUCUGCUCCCCAGCAGCUGUCCAAUUCUGAGCCCCUCUUCCUAACCCCAGAUCUCAGGUCAGGAUCGGCCCCCAUCCUUCUGCUUGGAGCUGGAGCAGCAAUAAUGUAAUUUGGGCUGCUCCCUCGUGGCCAAUCAGAGAAAUACAGGCUUCUUGAAGCCACUGAUUCCAUCACCUCCUGUAGCCCUGGAGACCCCAUCCCAAAUAAACAGACAAUCUAAGGAAAAGUGAGUUUAGCCUCAAGUCCUUCCCACCCAGAAACUGUCCAGAGGACUCUCCCUGCAAUCCCUUCCCCUUCAUUCCCUGGCCUGGUCUUCAGAGACCCACCCAAAGUAGAAAUUACACAUCCAGAUUACUUUUUUUUUUCUUUCUGGGCUGCAGGUGUGGCAUGUGGAAGUUCCCACCUAGGAGUCGAAUUGGAGCCACAGCAAUGCCGGAUCUGAGCUGCAUCUGUGACCUACAGCACAGCUCAUGGCAACACCAGGUCCUUAACCCACUGAGUAAGGCCAGAGAUUGAACCUGUAUCUUCAUGGACACUAGUCAGGUUGAUCACCACUGAGCUGGGAUGGGAACUCCCCAGCUUCCUGAUGGGAGUUCAUCUUCUGUUCUCUUACUUUCAGAGACAGGGAACUCACUACCCCAAGGCUGACCCAUGACCUUUUCUGUUCUGGAGGUAAUCAGGAACACUGAUGGUGUUGACCCACCCCUGAUCUCCUAGGACUCACACUGCUCACUCACCUGGAGCAAGAGGUGAGCACACAGGGUUACAGGUGCACCGACUGGCACAGAGAUGGGCAUGGCCAGUGCUAAAAGAACCUACUCCCCCGCCUACAUCUUCUUAGGGGUCUCAUAAUAAAAGGAAUUAAACCCUAGAAUCUUAAAGAUAUCUUGGGUCAGGCUGCCCCCUUAAUUCUGCUCUAGAAUCAGCCAGAGUCCCCUGAACACUUGCUCUCUGCCAGGUCCCUCUUGGUGCUUUACCCCACUUAGUGCUCACAACAGUCUGAGGGCAGCAUGCUCAUGCCUGCCAGGCAUCUGGGCAUGGGGUGCCAAGGGGGAGGUCACCUGCCCAGGACGACAUGGCCAGUCAUUUGCAGAGUCAGACAUGACUCUGGUGACUCCUGCAGCUCCUGCAGAAUACCCUGCCCCAAUGCAUGACAUCUGGGCCCAAGCAAGGUCUGCUGAGAAGGUUUGGAGCAGACUGUGAGGCCAGAAGUUUGAUCCCAGCCUGCCCCCUCAUGCCCCUCCCCUCCAGCCCUGCCUCCACCAGCGGCCCCACUUUGGGACCCAAGGUUAUCCCACUCAGACCCUCCUGCCCUGCCCCAGCAGCUCCUCUAAACCUCAGUGGAGGACUGGCAGGAAGGCUGUGAACAUGUGCCCCAGCUCACUGCCCCUUUACUGCCUAGCAACUGGUGACCUGGGGCCUCUGAAGUGGCCUGGCAUCUGAGAGCAAUUCUCUUGGGGCAGGGGAGAGAGCCAAGGCUUUGAGGAGGUCCUGCAAAUCACUUUCUGUGGGCCCCCCUUGCCAUACAGAUAAGAUCUAGAUGCUACUGUUUUCCUUGAAAGAUGAUGAUGAAGUGAAAUCAAAUGUAGAAACACCCUGCUGUUCAGAAGAGCAUGCCUGCCUUCUUGGCCUCACCUUGCUCUUGUUACUCAGGGGAACCCCAGAGGGCGUCAGCAAUGCUCAGGCCAGUCCAGGCACUCGGGGCCAGCAUGGUGGUGGCCUUGGAAUCAGAAAGCAGCCCAAGGUGGGGGACCCUGGGGAACUCUGGCAGCCAGGUGCUGAUCUGGCUGUCCCCCACCAGCACCCCGUGUGGAAAAAGCCCUUCCAAAGGCAGACAAUAGCCAGUAGGAGUGGUUUCUGGAAGGGCUGGAUUCUGCCUCUCUGUGAAGGGAUGACCAACCCACUCAGGCUUUCUGAAAAAGGCCUUAUCUCCUCCCUUUCUAGCUGCGCUGGGUUCUCUGUCCUCAUCUACCCUGGCCAGCCCUGCUCAGAGCCUGCCCUGCGGCACUCCUAAUUGGCGAGGGUCAGCUCUGUCUCUGGUCCUAAUUGAGCCCAGGACAGGGUCUUACCCAGGCUCCUAGAGGCCAGUUUUUCCAGAGCAGACACCUGCUCUGCAGCUAAGGCCCUGGGGCUGCUGGCCAGAGCUGGGUGAUUUUGCUCUGCCUGCAGACCCAUCACUUUCUCUUGCCCUUGGGAUCUGCACUCUGGCCACUAGAAGGCGCUGUUCCCCCUCAGGCCCGAUGCGACCACAGGCCCGCAUCAUGGAAGAUCAAAUUCUAAGAGACCACAGAAGGCAGAUCAUGGUGGGGAGUUCAAGGGAAGACAAUGGCCUUUGUCUAACCGCUCCUAUGAAUCUGGCACUUCCCACGCAGGACCUCACCUCCCCCUCUAGCCACCGCAGUGGGGGCGGGAGCGGGGGUGGGGGCAGGGGGCUAAGUCACAAACGACAGAAACCAACCUCUAGCUAACAAGCAAAAACCAAACAUGCUGUACACCAAAGCAGCAGAAAAGAGAGUCACUCAAAGAAGACCGCCACAAAGGGGACAGCCAACGUCAGGCCUCCAGUGCAGUUUGAACAGGAUGCUGCCGCCCCGGCCUCUUGGCUCCCAGCUGCAAUUAAAAAAACUCUUCACGGGUCCCUAGCAUUUGUGGCUCUGCUUCCCUCUGUUGCACACCCUCUCCCUAGCUGACUUGAAGCCUCACAUUCUCUCUGCACCACAAGGUUAUGGAAGCAACCAGCUCCUCCCAAGCUUUGGCCCUACCACUCCCACCUCCAUCAUUCACUCCUUCAACGCCCCCCAGGCUAGGUCCCUGUCUACAUCAAGCACCUAGGACCCGGGCUCCCAGACUCAGGCAGGCCUGCCUUUCCUCUGAGGCUGCCUCCCUCACUGCUGACUGGUCACAUGGCGGGGGACUGGCUGCACUUUGUGUGCCUGAAAUUGGAGUUGCAUGGCCCCAGGAGUAGGGAGAAGAGUCUGGGGGUAAGAGGACCAGCUCUACAACCAGAACUGGCUUUAGCUGGAGAGACAUGUGAUCCAGACCUCCAGGAGGCUACCUCUACGACAGGAGAGCACUCCUGGAGACCCAGCGGUUAACGGGAGGGGUCUAAGAUGGGCUGGGAGGGAGGACAACAGGGGGGCAGACAAGGGCCUUCUCCUUGGGAUGGGAGCCCUGAGACCUGUGGCAGGAAUGGCAGCCAGAGACCCCAAGGAGAAUUCAGUUGCUCACUAAUUCACUCAACACACAAUUACUGGAGCUCCAGCUGUGGUGCAACAGGAUCAGGUGCAUCUUGGGAGCGCUGGGACGCAGAUUUGAUCCCUGGCCCAGCACAGUGGGUUAAGGACCCGGUGUUGCCAUGGCUGUGGCUUAGGUCAAGACUGUAGCUCAGAUCUGAUCCCUGGCCCAGAGGCUCCAUAUGCGGCCAAAAAUGAAACACACACACACACACAAUUACUAUUACAGGUUCUGUGCACCCCAUGGAGAGACAGCCCCAAAACUCCCCACCCAGACACCCACUCUUCAGAACUAAAUUCUGAGGGGGGCUUAAAAACCAAAGGGAAGGGAGGUUUCCCUCCAGGUCCCCUGGAGCCCCCUGACAAGGGCCCUCCAGACCCCGUUCCUGACUCAGGGAGUUUCUAGAACCUCCUCAGCUCAGGUAGGGUCUCCUCCCAGCCCAGCUCCCCACACUCUUCCAAAAGCUCCACAGAUCUCAGCGAGGGAUACACAGGCUUAUUCACAGAUACUCCUGGGCAAGAGGCUUUGCAUGUGAUUUGCAGAAGCUUGGCCUGAGGCUCGACAGCACCCAGCUGUUCUCCCUUUGCAGCCCAGGCCAGGCAAACCUCUGCUCCUUCCCCCCGCCUGUCCCCGUCCUACAGCAAGUUUCCAACCCAGAACCCCACCAUGCUUUCCCCCACACAGUCCCCAUGAGAGAGUCAGAAUAACACCAACUAGGCCUCCAAUUUGUGAGGCUGAGCCUGGGUCUGGGUGGAGGUUGGUCCAGCCUGACUUGGUGGUGAAUCUGACUAGCACCCAUGAGGAUGCAGCUUCAAUCCCUGGCCUCUCUCAGUGGGUUAAAGGAUCCAGCGUUGCCAUGAGCUGCAGUGUAGGUCAGAGACACUGCUCGAAUCUGGCUAGUUGCUGUGGCUAUAGCAUAGGCCAGAGGCUACAGCUCCGAUUCCAUCCCUAGGCUGGGAACCUCCAUAUGCCACGAGUUCAGCCCUGAAAAGCAAAAAAUAAAAAUAAAAAUAAAAAGACAAACACCUGGCAGGUGAGGGUCUCUGGGCAGCCCUGAGAGGGCAGCAUCAACCUGUAAGAGGCUUUGUGAGCCCAGGACUCGGGGUACAAAGAACCACGGAAGUUCUGGUCCUAUCCAGCCCCAAGGACUCCAGUGCCUGGAAAAUAGUAAACACACCCUCCACAUUUGUGAAUGGAUGGAGGAGGGCUACAGCUCAUGAGCCAUCGUGAAACUGCAGGCUCAGGAAUAGAAAAAAGCCUCAGGAAGCUGGACUGAACACUCAGAGGACAGCAGGGGAGAGCCUAUUUCAGGAGUCAGAGAAAACAUAUUCAUCUCACUGCCAGUGAGUGCAAGUGAGCCUUGGGCCAAAACACUGUGCUAAGUGAUUAACUUUUCAGCAUCAGAAGUUAGGUGACUUUUGCUUAAGGUCACACAGCUGGGCAGGAAUGAGGCCAGGCCAGUCUCUAACCCAGAAGCUGUUAAAAUAAAUUGGGUAAGAAUGAUACAAUGGCAUCCUGAAAUCUCCCUUC